AGGUGCGAUCAUACCAGUACUAAUGCACCGGAUCCCAUCAGAACUCCGCAGCUAAGCGUGCUUGGGCGAGACUAGUACUAGGAUGGGUGACCACCUGGGAAGUCCUCGUGUUGCACCUC
rnacentral:rRNA from 2 species